rnacentral:lncRNA from 1 species
AGGGCCUUCUGCCAAGGGCCCGCUUUGAUCUCCCUUAAAGGACAGCAUUAUCUGACCAGAGACCCAUGCAGGAGACCUCUCCAGGUACACAUAUUUCCUGCUACUGAAUGGCUUAGACUGGGAUUUGCAAGGAACUACGAAGUCCAAGACCUUUGCCUUUCUUUUAGAAGAAGGCACCAGCUGGUUCUCCAAUGUUGAAGGUCUUCUCCAGAGAUGGGCAUGCAGAAGGAGUGAAAAAACAAGAAGGAAGACAAGGAAGACAUUGUUUUGGCUGCUGACAUUUCCUGAAAGAUCUGAGGCGUCCCCUUCACUUCGGGCAUGGGACCCAGACGGCUGAGUGAUGGACCUUAAGGUGUGGGGAGAUUACAACUUGCUCAAGGUCUCAUAGCUAGAAGAUGUCAGAGUGAUAACUCAAACCAUGUCACAUGACUCUAAGCCCAAAGCAGCCUCUAGAAGGUUGUUUGAUCUUCUGAUGGAAGCACAAAUCACCAUUCCAACAUGAAAGAUGGAGAAACUUAAGUCUAGAGAGAUUUAAAGGACUUGUCAAAGGCAAUGAAACAAGUGGAACUCUGAAAGCCACAUGUUGAGAUGGCCCCAUUACAGGAUGGAGAGCACCUGAACCCCCAAGUUAUGGACUAGAAGAAGACAGUUGCCCUGGAAAAUCAUCUGACCCACAUUGGACUUUAUGUGAGGGGGAAAUAAACCUUUAUUAUGUUAAGCUACACAAUAAUAAAUAACAACAAUAAUUGUGUUUAUUUGUUA